rnacentral:rRNA from 1 species
GACCAGACUCCUACGGGAGGCAGCAGUGGGGGAUAUUGCACAAUGGGGGAAACCCUGAUGCAGCGACGCCGCGUGUGGGAAGACGGUCCUCUGGAUUGUAAACCACUGUCCCCAGGGACGAAUAUGACGGUACCUGGGGAGGAAGCUCCGGCUAACUACGUGCCAGCAGCCGCGGUAAUACGGAGGAUGCGAGCGUUAUCCGGAUUUAUUGGGUUUAAAGGGUGCGUAGGCGGGCAUUUAAGCCGGCGGUCAAAUGUCGGGGCUCAACCCCGGCCUGCCGUCGGAACUGGGUGCCUUGAGUGGGCGAGAAGUAUGCGGAAUGCGUGGUGUAGCGGUGAAAUGCAUAGAUAUCACGCAGAACCCCGAUUGCGAAGGCAGCAUACCGGCGCCCUACUGACGCUGAGGCACGAAAGUGCGGGUAUCGAACAGGAUUAGAUACCCCUGUA